UACGGGGGGAGCAAGCGUUGUUCGGAUUUACUGGGCGUAAAGGGCGCGUAGGCGGUCAGCACAAGUCAGUUGUGAAAUCUCCGGGCUUAACUCGGAAAGGUCAACUGAUACUGUGCGACUAGAGUGCGGAAGGGGCAACUGGAAUUCUCGGUGUAGCGGUGAAAUGCGUAGAUAUCGAGAGGAACACCUGCGGCGAAGGCGGGUUGCUGGGCCGACACUGACGCUGAUGCGCGAAAGCCAGGGAGGCGAACGGG
rnacentral:rRNA from 1 species